rnacentral:rRNA from 1 species
CCUACGGGAGGCAGCAGUAAGGAAUAUUGGACAAUGGCCGGAAGGCUGAUCCAGCCAUGCCGCGUGCAGGAAGACGGCCCUACGGGUUGUAAACUGCUUUUGUGCGGGAAUAAACCCACGCUUGCGAGCGUGGCUGAAGGUACCGCACGAAUAAGCAUCGGCUAACUCCGUGCCAGCAGCCGCGGUAAUACGGAGGAUGCGAGCGUUAUCCGGAUUUAUUGGGUUUAAAGGGUGCGUAGGCGGCCGUUUAAGUCAGAGGUGAAAGACGUGUGCUUAACACGCGCAGUGCCUUUGAUACUGGACGGCUUGAAUGCAGAUGAGGUAGGCGGAAUGUGGCAAGUAGCGGUGAAAUGCAUAGAUAUGCCACAGAACACCGAUUGCGAAGGCAGCUUACUAAACUGUGAUUGACGCUGAGGCACGAAAGCGUGGGGAUCAAACAG